rnacentral:rRNA from 1 species
GAAAAGAACUUUGAAAAGAGAGUUAAACAGUACGUGAAAUUGUUGAAAGGGAAACGAUUAAAGUCAGUCGUACCAGCGGGAAAUCAACCUUUCGAGUGGUAUUUUGGAGUUUUGAAGAGUGUUAAAAACCUUUGAGAUUUCAAAAUUUUCGCUUUUUUGGUGUACUUUCUCGUAGGUAGGUUAACAUCGAUUUUUGUUGCGUCAUAAUGAUUGUAGGAAUGUGGCUCUUUCGGGAGUGUUAUAGCCUACUUUAGAUGGCGUGAUAAAGAUCGAGGAUUGCAGCGAAUGCCUUCAGGCUAUGGAUCUGUUCUCUGUCGAUCGUUAAUUGCACUUCAGCUUGCUGAGGGACAGUUGAUAGAUUUACAGCAGGAUAGAAUCUAAUAAAUUCGCUAAGGAUGUU